rnacentral:lncRNA from 1 species
AUGAGUAUGAAUUUUUUACCAUAGUUUAAACAUAUAAUAAUUAGUCUAACAUAAAAAAUUCACCACAAUUGGACCAUACAAACUAUAGCUAUGAAUUAUUCUAAUUAAUUAUAGAAAAAAUAGUUCUAAAGCUACAAUAAAAAUUUUGUACUAAAGCAUACUAUAUUAUAUGUUCACUAUGUAGAUCUACUUAUCUGGAGUCCAGCAAAAUCAGAUUUACUAUUUUAUGAAUUUUACGUGAUUUACUAUAAUUUUACAAAUAUUCAGCCAAAAUAAAUAAAAAUAAAAAAGACAAAACAGCCUUCAAAACCGCUCAUAACCAUGUC